rnacentral:rRNA from 1 species
GGUGCUAAUACCGCAUAACCAUAGUUACCGCAUGGUAACUAUGUAAAAGGUGGCUAUGCUACCGCUUUUGGAUGGGCCCGCGGCGCAUUAGCUAGUUGGUGGGGUAAAGGCUUACCAAGGCAAUGAUGCGUAGCCGAACUGAGAGGUUGAUCGGCCACAUUGGGACUGAGACACGGCCCAACCUCCUACGGGAGGCAGCAGUAGGGAAUCUUCCACAAUGGGCGAAAGCCUGAUGGAGCAACGCCGCGUGGGUGAAGAAGGUCUUCGGAUCGUAAAACCCUGUUGUUAGAGAAGAAAGUGCGUGAGAGUAACUGUUCACGUUUCGACGGUAUCUAACCAGAAAGCCACGGCUAACUACGUGCCAGCAGCCGCGGUAAUACGUAGGUGGCAAGCGUUAUCCGGAUUUAUUGGGCGUAAAGGGAACGCAGGCGGUCUUUUAAGUCUGAUGUGAAAGCCUUCGGCUUAACCGGAGUAGUGCAUUGGAAACUGGGAGACUUGAGUGCAGAAGAGGAGAGUGGAACUCCAUGUGUAGCGGUGAAAUGCGUAGAUAUAUGGAAGAACACCAGUGGCGAAAGCGGCUCUCUGGUCUGUAACUGACGCUGAGGUUCGAAAGCGUGGGUAGCAAACAGGAUUAGAUACCCUGGUAGUCCACGCCGUAAACGA